rnacentral:rRNA from 1 species
AUUGAACGCUGGCGGCAUGCCUUACACAUGCAAGUCGAACGGUAACAGGCCUUCGGGUGCUGACGAGCGGUGAACGGGGGCGUAUUGCUAAGGCACGUAUCCAGUGGCUGGGGGUAACGCAGCGAAAGGUGUGCUCAUACCGCAUGUGAUAUGAGGUUGAAAACGGGGGGCCGAGCUGCAAUAAUUCGCCUUGGCUGUUUCUAGCGGCUGAUGUCGGAUUAGCUAGUUGGUGAGGUAAAGGCCUACCAAGGCAACGAUCCGUAGCUGGUCUGAGAGGAUGAUCGGCCACACUGGAACUGAGACACGGUCCAGACUCCUACGGGAGGCAGCAGUGGGGAAUUUUGGACAAUGGGCGAAAGCCUGAUCCAGCAAUGCCGCGUGCGUGAAGAAGGCCUUCGGAUCGUAAACCGCUGUUAGCAGGGACGAAACAAUGUGCGCGAAUACCGGGCGGUAUUGACGGUACCUGCAGAGUAAGCAACGGCUAACUACGUG